UCGACCCCUAAGGCGAGGCCGAAAGGCGUAGUCGAUGGGAAACAGGUUAAUAUUCCUGUACUUGGUGUUACUGCGAAGGGGGGACGGAGAAGGCUAUGUUGGCCGGGCGACGGUUGUCCCGGUUUAAGCGUGUAGGCUGGUUUUCCAGGCAAAUCCGGAAAAUCAAGGCUGAGGCGUGAUGACGAGGCACUACGGUGCUGAAGCAACAAAUGCCCUGCUUCCAGGAAAAGCCUCUAAGCAUCAGGUAACAUCAAAUCGUACCCCAAACCGACACAGGUGGUCAGGUAGAGAAUACCAAGGCGCUUGAGAGAACUCGGGUGAAGGAACUAGGCAAAAUGGUGCCGUAACUUCGGGAGAAGGCACGCUGAUAUGUAGGUGAAGUCCCUCGCGGAUGGAGCUGAAAUCAGUCGAAGAUACCAGCUGGCUGCAACUGUUUAUUAAAAACACAGCACUGUGCAAACACGAAAGUGGACGUAUACGGUGUGACGCCUGCCCGGUGCCGGAAGGUUAAUUGAUGGGGUUAGCGCAAGCGAAGCUCUUGAUCGAAGCCCCGGUAAACGGCGGCCGUAACUAUAACGGUCCUAAGGUAGCGAAAUUCCUUGUCGGGUAAGUUCCGACCUGCACGAAUGGCGUAAUGAUGGCCAGGCUGUCUCCACCCGAGACUCAGUGAAAUUGAACUCGCUGUGAAGAUGCAGUGUACCCGCGGCAAGACGGAAAGACCCCGUGAACCUUUACUAUAGCUUGACACUGAACAUUGAGCCUUGAUGUGUAGGAUAGGUGGGAGGCUUUGAAGUGUGGACGCCAGUCUGCAUGGAGCCGACCUUGAAAUACCACCCUUUAAUGUUUGAUGUUCUAACGUUGACCCGUAAUCCGGGUUGCGGACAGUGUCUGGUGGGUAGUUUGACUGGGGCGGUCUCCUCCUAAAGAGUAACGGAGGAGCACGAAGGUUGGCUAAUCCUGGUCGGACAUCAGGAGGUUAGUGCAAUGGCAUAAGCCAGCUUGACUGCGAGCGUGACGGCGCGAGCAGGUGCGAAAGCAGGUCAUAGUGAUCCGGUGGUUCUGAAUGGAAGGGCCAUCGCUCAACGGAUAAAAGGUACUCCGGGGAUAACAGGCUGAUACCGCCCAAGAGUUCAUAUCGACGGCGGUGUUUGGCACCUCGAUGUCGGCUCAUCACAUCCUGGGGCUGAAGUAGGUCCCAAGGGUAUGGCUGUUCGCCAUUUAAAGUGGUACGCGAGCUGGGUUUAGAACGUCGUGAGACAGUUCGGUCCCUAUCUGCCGUGGGCGCUGGAGAACUGAGGGGGGCUGCUCCUAGUACGAGAGGACCGGAGUGGACGCAUCACUGGUGUUCGGGUUGUCAUGCCAAUGGCACUGCCCGGUAGCUAAAUGCGGAAGAGAUAAGUGCUGAAAGCAUCUAAGCACGAAACUUGCCCCGAGAUGAGUUCUCCCUGACUCCUUGAGAGUCCUGAAGGAACGUUGAAGACGACGACGUUGAUAGGCCGG
rnacentral:rRNA from 1 species